GGCAGCAUGGUCUUAGCUUGCUAAGGCUGAUGGCGACCGGCGCACGGGUGAGUAACACGUAUCCAACCUGCCGUCUACUCUUGGCCAGCCUUCUGAAAGGAAGAUUAAUCCAGGAUGGCAUCAUGAGUUCACAUGUCCGCAUGAUUAAAGGUAUUUUCCGGUAGACGAUGGGGAUGCGUUCCAUUAGAUAGUAGGCGGGGUAACGGCCCACCUAGUCAACGAUGGAUAGGGGUUCUGAGAGGAAGGUCCCCCACAUUGGAACUGAGACACGGUCCAAACUCCUACGGGAGGCAGCAGUGAGGAAUAUUGGUCAAUGGGCGAUGGCCUGAACCAGCCAAGUAGCGUGAGGGAUGACUGCCCUAUGGGUUGUAAACUUCUUUUAUAAAGGAAUAAAGUCGGGUAUGCAUACCCGUUUGCAUGUACUUUAUGAAUAAGGAUCGGCUAACUCCGUGCCAGCAGCCGCGGUAAUACGGAGGAUCCGAGCGUUAUCCGGAUUUAUUGGGUUUAAAGGGAGCGUAGAUGGAUGUUUAAGUCAGUUGUGAAAGUUUGCGGCUCAACCGUAAAAUUGCAGUUGAUACUGGAUGUCUUGAGUGCAGUUGAGGCAGGCGGAAUUCGUGGUG
rnacentral:rRNA from 1 species